rnacentral:rRNA from 1 species
AGAGUUUGAUCCUGGCUCAGGACGAACGCUGGCGGCGCGCCUAACACAUGCAAGUCGAACGGAGCUUAGAGAGCUUGCUUUUUAAGCUUAGUGGCGAACGGGUGAGUAACGCGUGAGUAACCUGCCCUAGAGUGGGGGACAACAGUUGGAAACGACUGCUAAUACCGCAUAAGCCCACGGUACCGCAUGGUACUGAGGGAAAAGGAUUUAUUCGCUUUAGGAUGGACUCGCGUCCAAUUAGCUAGUUGGUGAGGUAACGGCCCACCAAGGCGACGAUUGGUAGCCGGACUGAGAGGUUGAACGGCCACAUUGGGACUGAGACACGGCCCAGACUCCUACGGGAGGCAGCAGUGGGGGAUAUUGCACAAUGGGGGAAACCCUGAUGCAGCGACGCCGCGUGGAGGAAGAAGGUUUUCGGAUUGUAAACUCCUGUCGUUAGGGACGAUAAUGACGGUACCUAACAAGAAAGCACCGGCUAACUACGUGCCAGCAGCCGCGGCAAAACGUAGGGUGCAAGCGUUGUCCGGAAUUACUGGGUGUAAAGGGAGCGCAGGCGGGAAGACAAGUUGGAAGUGAAAACCAUGGGCUCAACCCAUGAACUGCUUUCAAAACUGUUUUUCUUGAGUAGUGCAGAGGUAGAUGGAAUUCCCGGUGUAGCGGUGGAAUGCGUAGAUAUCGGGAGGAACACCAGUGGCGAAGGCGGUCUACUGGGCACCAACUGACGCUGAGGCUCGAAAGCUUGGGUAGCAAACAGGAUUAGAUACCCUGGUAGUCCAUGCCGUAAACGAUGAUUACUAGGUGUUGGGGGAUUGACCCCCUCAGUGCCGCAGUUAACACAAUAAGUAAUCCACCUGGGGAGUACGACCGCAAGGUUGAAACUCAAAGGAAUUGACGGGGGCCCGCACAAGCAGUGGAGUAUGUGGUUUAAUUCGAAGCAACGCGAAGAACCUUACCAGGUCUUGACAUCCGAUGCAUAGCACAGAGAUGUGUGAAAUCCUUCGGGACAUCGAGACAGGUGGUGCAUGGUUGUCGUCAGCUCGUGUCGUGAGAUGUUGGGUUAAGUCCCGCAACGAGCGCAACCCUUAUUGCCAGUUACUACGUUAAGAGGACUCUGGCGAGACUGCCGUUGACAAAACGGAGGAAGGUGGGGAUGACGUCAAAUCAUCAUGCCCUUUAUGACCUGGGCUACACACGUACUACAAUGGCGUUAAACAAAGAGAAGCAAGACCGCGAGGUGGAGCAAAACU